rnacentral:rRNA from 1 species
CGGCCACAUUGGGACUGAGACACGGCCCAGACUCCUACGGGAGGCAGCAGUGGGGAAUAUUGCACAAUGGGGGAAACCCUGAUGCAGCGACGCCGCGUGGAGGAAGAAGGUCUUCGGAUUGUAAACUCCUGUUGUUGAGGAAGAUAAUGACGGUACUCAACAAGGAAGUGACGGCUAACUACGUGCCAGCAGCCGCGGUAAAACGUAGGUCACAAGCGUUGUCCGGAAUUACUGGGUGUAAAGGGAGCGCAGGCGGGAGAACAAGUUGGAAGUGAAAUCCAUGGGCUCAACCCAUGAACUGCUUUCAAAACUGUUUUUCUUGAGUAGUGCAGAGGUAGGCGGAAUUCCCGGUGUAGCGGUGGAAUGCGUAGAUAUCGGGAGGAACACCAGUGGCGAAGGCGGCCUACUGGGCACCAACUGACGCUGAGGCUCGAAAGUGUGGGUAGCAAACAGGAUUAGAUACCCUGGUAGUCCACACCGUAAACGAUGAUUACUAGGUGUUGGAGGAUUGACCCCUUCAGUGCCGCAGUUAACACAAUAAGUAAUCCACCUGGGGAGUACGACCGCAAGGUUGAAACUCAAAGGAAUUGACGGGGGCCCGCACAAGCAGUGGAGUAUGUGGUUUAAUUCGACGCAACGCGAAGAACCUUACCAAGUCUUGACAUCCCUUGACGAUGCUGGAAACAGUAUUUCUCUUCGGAGCAAGGAGACAGGUGGUGCAUGGUUGUCGUCAGCUCGUGUCGUGAGAUGUUGGGUUAA